CAGCCGUAAACAAUGUGCGUUAGGUGUGUCGGUAACCACGCGUUACUGAUGCGCCGAAGAGAAAUCGUGAAACGCACCACCUGGGAAGUACGGUCGCAAGGCUGAAACUUAAAGGAAUUGGCGGGGGAGCACCACAACAGGUGGAGCCUGCGGUUUAAUUGGAUUCAACGCCGAAAAACUCACCAGCAGCGACUGUUACAUGAAAGUCAGGUUGAUGACCUUACUAGAUUUCAGAGAGGUGGUGCAUGGCGUCAGUGACUGU
rnacentral:rRNA from 1 species